rnacentral:misc_RNA from 1 species
CAAGAAGCCGAAAGGCUACUUAAAACCAUCGCGAACUCAUCCAAGUUGCUUCGGCGGCGCGGCUCCCCUCACGGGGGACCGCAGCCCCCGCCUCUCAGGAGGUAAGGGGCAGCCGCCGGAGGUACGAAACUCUGUAUUAUAGUGGUAUCUCUGAGUAUAAAACAAAUAAGUUA